rnacentral:pre_miRNA from 14 species
AAAGACAAAAUCAACUGGAUCACUUCAAAUGGAGCCACUAAUGAUUUCUACAUUCAUAAGUGCUUCUCUUUAGGGUUGUCUUGGUUGU